GAUGAACGCUGGCGGCGUGCCUAAUACAUGCAAGUCGAGCGAACGGACGAGAAGCUUGCUUUUCUGAUGUUAGCGGCGGACGGGUGAGUAACACGUGGAUAACCUACCUAUAAGACUGGGAUAACUUCGGGAAACCGGAGCUAAUACCGGAUAAUAUUUUGAACCGCAUGGUUCAAAAGUGAAAGACGGUCUUGCUGUCACUUAUAGAUGGAUCCGCGCUGCAUUAGCUAGUUGGUAAGGUAACGGCUUACCAAGGCAACGAUGCAUAGCCGACCUGAGAGGGUGAUCGGCCACACUGGAACUGAGACACGGUCCAGACUCCUACGGGAGGCAGCAGUAGGGAAUGUUCCGCAAUGGGCGAAAGCCUGACGGAGCAACGCCGCGUGAGUGAUGAAGGUCUUCGGAUCGUAAAACUCUGUUAUUAGGGAAGAACAUAUGUGUAAGUAACUGUGCACAUCUUGACGGUACCUAAUCAGAAAGCCACGGCUAACUACGUG
rnacentral:rRNA from 1 species